rnacentral:rRNA from 1 species
GACAGAGGGGGCGAGCGUUUGCCGGAGUCACUGGGCGUAAAGCGCGCGCAGGCGGCAACCUUAGUGUCGUGUGAAAGCCCCCGGCUCAACCGGGGGAGGCCAUGGCAAACUGGGUCGCUCGAGCUGCGGAGAGGCUCCUCGAAUUGCCGGUGUAGCGGUGAAAUGCGUAGAGAUCGGCAGGAAGACCAAGGGGGAAGCCAGGGGGCUGGCCGCAGGCUGACGCUGAGGCGCGACAGCGUGGGGAGCAAACCGG